AGUGAACGCUGGCGGUAGGCCUAACACAUGCAAGUCGAACGGCAGCACAGUAAGAGCUUGCUCUUACGGGUGGCGAGUGGCGGACGGGUGAGGAAUACAUCGGAAUCUACUUUUUCGUGGGGGAUAACGUAGGGAAACUUACGCUAAUACCGCAUACGACCUACGGGUGAAAGCAGGGGAUCUUCGGACCUUGCGCGAUUGAAUGAGCCGAUGUCGGAUUAGCUAGUUGGCGGGGUAAAGGCCCACCAAGGCGACGAUCCGUAGCUGGUCUGAGAGGAUGAUCAGCCACACUGGAACUGAGACACGGUCCAGACUCCUACGGGAGGCAGCAGUGGGGAAUAUUGGACAAUGGGCGCAAGCCUGAUCCAGCCAUACCGCGUGGGUGAAGAGGGCCUUCGGGUUGUAAAGCCCUUUUGUUGGGAAAGAAAAGCAGCAGGUUAAUACCCCGCUGUUCUGACGGUACCUAAAGAAUAAGCACCGGCUAACUUCGUG
rnacentral:rRNA from 1 species